rnacentral:lncRNA from 1 species
CACAUCUCAAAUGUUUCUCCAUAAGAUGCUUAAAUGAACUGAGGGCCAUAACAAGUAACAAAACAAUAUGACUAUGUUGUAGAAUGGUCCAUAUAAUAUGAUCUUAUUUUUUAAAAAUAAAAUAAAUAAAAUAGUAUGUUAGCAUAUGGUUAUAAGAGUUUAGAAAAAGUUCCCAAAGCUUACACAAAAUCCUUCAAUGUUAUCAGCUCCAGUGGGUAGGAUAAUGGGGAUUUUUAGUUGGUAUUUUUUCACCUUUCUUUAUUGACUAUUUUUUGACAUAGUGUCAUAUUUAUAAAUAUGAUAAAAUAAAUUACAUAUUGGCAUUUGGAAAAGGUGGAAUUAACAAAAUUAUGAAUGAAAUAUAUUUCCUAUGUAAAAAUCAUCGGUUUAGAAUUUCUCUCAUUGUCUCUUCAUAUCUUUAGGUUUUUUUCAUUCCUGGUCCUCAAACCUAGGACCUUGCAUGUGCUAGGCAAGUGCUCUACCACUGAGCUACACUCCCAUCCCUGACUCUUCAUGUCUUGUCAUCACAAUAUAUGCAAUUAGAAGGAAAAUGAAAUAUCUUAGUAUUUGACAAUGUUAAGUAAAUAACAUGCCCUCAGCUCCCACCAUUUCCCGAUGCACAAAUACGUGUCACAGAGCCACUUCUUUAGUAGAAGCCAACACUUUUAUAAAUCUUUGGAUAACACAGAAGCAGCAGAAGACACAAAACAGUUUUAAUUUAUGUAAGAUAUGCAAGAUAAACCAAAAUAGCUGGGGGAGGGAAGGAUGGAGAGAGGAUGCUUAAUGAGAACAGGGGUGCCGUUGGAGAAGAGGAAUAACUUCUAACGUUUACAGCACAGGGGGAUAAUGAUGGUUGACAACAAUAAAUGGAAUGUUUCCAGAUAGCUAGUAGAGAGGAUGUUGAACAUUCCCAGCACGAAGAAAUGAUAAAUGUCUGAGUUAAUAGAUGUUCAGGUACCCUGAUCUAAUCAUUACACAUUGCAUCCAAGUAUUGAAAUGUCACACUAUAAUCCCUAGACAGGUACAACUACCAUGUGUUGAUUAAACACUAAAAAAUACUUAAAAAUCAGGGGCUAAGGAUGGAGCUCAGAGGUAGCGCACUUCCUGGCAUGUGUGAGGCACUGGGUUUAUAUGUUGGCACAGCAUAUAAAUAAAUAAAGUAAAG